rnacentral:misc_RNA from 1 species
AAAAUUGUCUGGUCAUUGAUGUCCAAAGCAUAAGCCUCUCCACCUAUAUAUGUCAAAAAACCAUCCUCAUUGUUUGUCACAAACUCUCCUCCAGAUUGACAUAUUGCAAUUAUCUUCUUGGAAGCCAUCACAAGGACAUAAAAUCCUCAAUCAAUUCAAAAACUGUGUGAUGAUGAUGUAAAAAUUGCUGCAAAGUUUUGAAGAA